GAUGAACGCUGGCGGAGGGAAGAAUACAGGCAAGUCGAGCGAACGGACGAGAAGCUUGCUUCUCUGAUGUUAGCGGCGGACGGGUGAGUAACACGUGGAUAACCUACCUAUAAGACUGGGAUAACUUCGGGAAACCGGAGCUAAUACCGGAUAAUAUUUUGAACCGCAUGGUUCAAAAGUGAAAGACGGUCUUGCUGUCACUUAUAGAUGGAUCCGCGCUGCAUUAGCUAGUUGGUAAGGUAACGGCUUACCAAGGCAACGAUGCAUAGCCGACCUGAGAGGGUGAUCGGCCACACUGGAACUGAGACACGGUCCAGACUCCUACGGGAGGCAGCAGUAGGGAAUCUUCCGCAAUGGGCGAAAGCCUGACGGAGCAACGCCGCGUGAGUGAUGAAGGUCUUCGGAUCGUAAAACUCUGUUAUUAGGGAAGAACAUAUGCGUAAGUAACUGUGCACAUCUUGACGGUACCUAAUCAGAAAGCCCCGGCUCCCUACGUC
rnacentral:rRNA from 1 species